AACGAACGCUGGCGGCAUGCCUAACACAUGCAAGUCGAACGAGACCUUCGGGUCUAGUGGCGCACGGGUGCGUAACGCGUGGGAACCUGCCCUUAGGUUCGGAAUAACUCCUCGAAAGGGGUGCUAAUACCGGAUGAUGUCGAAAGACCAAAGAUUUAUCGCCUUUGGAUGGGCCCGCGUAGGAUUAGGUAGUUGGUGGGGUAAAGGCCUACCAAGCCGACGAUCCUUAGCUGGUCUGAGAGGAUGAUCAGCCACACUGGGACUGAGACACGGCCCAGACUCCUACGGGAGGCAGCAGUGGGGAAUAUUGGACAAUGGGCGAAAGCCUGAUCCAGCAAUGCCGCGUGAGUGAUGAAGGCCUUAGGGUUGUAAAGCUCUUUUACCAGGGAUGAUAAUGACAGUACCUGGAGAAUAAAGCUCCGGCUAACUCCGUG
rnacentral:rRNA from 1 species